AUAAAUCUAGUGCCUUCAACACUUGUAUCUCCUACUGGCUUUUACAGUCUGUGAUUUGCUUCCUGUUAGAGGCGCGAAGGGAAUAUCGGACACAUCUACAGUUUGGGUUCAUUGACCGGGAGUUCCCAGUGCUGAUGCUGGCCCCUGAUGAUGAAAUGGCCAGUAAUGCUGAAAGCAUUGACCCUGAUAAGCUUUCUUUCUUCUGGAUAACAGCUCGGAGGAAUGUGACUGAAAAUCUGAUCAACCAUUCAGAAGCCUCUGCAAAUAGGAACCGUGUUAAAAAUGUAGCACACCCUUUAUGAGCCAACCUUGUUGGUGUGGGUCUGGAGUCACAUGUAGGCCAGUCCAGGUGCUGCCAGACCUACUGAAUUUUUUCAGCAAUUUUUGAUAUUGUUUCCAAUUUCCAACAUCCUCAGUUCUUUGCUUCUUUGUCCAAAAAGAUCACCAGUUUACAAACGAGUCAGCCUCAAAAAUAUCCCCUGUUUGCUUGUAAAAGUCCCCGACUUUCUGCCUCUCUGAAUAAUCUGUUCCUUGUGUUUAUCACACUCAGUGUUUGGUAGUUACAAUCUAAUCUGUCUCCUUGUGUUGCUCUUCUAAUCACAGACCCAUGACCUCUGGUGACAUCUUUUUGCCAACAAAAGCAUAUUCUGUUCCCUUGAGGAUGUUGAACACUGGAAUAAUCUCUGCUUAGACCACGGUCUCCUUUGGAAUGGACAAGGCUUCAAUGACGCAUAUCCAACUUGUUAAUUUUGGUUGCCAAAUGUCUUUGUUGCACUGGUGCUUGAGUGGUCUUGAUCUGCCCUGCAACAGGAUUUAUAGACGUUGGUACAGAUGUCCCCACGAGGAUUCAUGUGCAUUCUAAACUUGAACUGAAUUGAGAGCAGAUGAGAGAGGUGAAGGUGUACUUUAUCUUUCUUAUGCCCCAGAGGAAUCUGGCUGGGCUGGAAUUUACAUCCCACCAGAAGUCUCCAUGAUCACGAUGAACCAGUUGUAAUCAUUGCUUUUUUUUUGUAAUUCUUUCAUGGAAAGCGGGCAUCAUUGGCUCAACCAAAUGUGAGGCUGGAUGAA